AAGUCGUAACAAGGUCUCCGUAGGUGAACCUGCGGAGGGAUCAUUCACAUGAUUACUUUUGAUAAACAAACUGUGAACUUUAUAUACUAUUCGUGUUUUUUUGUCAGUUUAACUUUCAUUAAACAUUGUCAUUCGUUGAACAUAAGAUAGUUGGCUUGAAAUUUAUUAUUCUUUCUCAGCUUUGAUUUGAUUGAAAAUUCAACACUUUCUCUCAAUCAACCAUAAACAUAGAAACAACUCUAUGCCCUGGAUAUCUUGGUUCUC
rnacentral:misc_RNA from 1 species